CGGAUCUGUUGCUUGUGUCCA
rnacentral:siRNA from 1 species